AAUAACUCCAGUUGUCCAGUGUUUGAUUUGUAAAACAGUUUCAGGAAGAGGACAAACUGGAGGCAAGGGACAGGACAA
ncrna:Medicago truncatula miR5286b stem-loop (mtr-MIR5286b)